rnacentral:misc_RNA from 1 species
UCCAGGUUAACCCUGGCAGUCUUCCUAGAGUGCCCAACUUAAUGCUGGCAACUAAGAACAGGGGUUGCGCUCGUUGCGAGACUUAACCCAACAUUUCACAACACGAGCUGACGACAGCCAUGCAGCGCCUGUCUCUACAUUCCCCGAAGGGCACUCCCACAUCUCUGCGGGAUUCGUAGGAUUUCAAACCCAGGUAAGGUUUUGCGCGUUGCUUCGAAUUAAACCACAUAAUCCACCGCUUGUGCGGGCCCCCGUCAAUUCCUUUGAGUUUUAGUCUUGCGACCGUACUCCCCAGGCGGAGCACUUAAUGCGUUUGCUUCGUCACAGAAGGGGUUAAUACCUCCUACAACUAGUGCUCAUCGUUUACGGCGUGGACUAC